rnacentral:rRNA from 1 species
AGAAUCAACGCUGGCGGCGUGCCUAACACAUGCAAGUCGAACGAGAAAGUGGAGCAAUCCACGAGUAAAGUGGCGCACGGGUGAGUAACACGUGACUAACCUACCCUUGAGUGGGGGAUAACCUAGGGAAACCUGGGCUAAUACCGCAUAAUACCUUCGGGUCAAAGGAGCAAUUCGCUUAAGGAGGGGGUCGCGGCCGAUUAGUUAGUUGGCGGGGUAAUGGCCCACCAAGACUGUGAUCGGUAUCCGGCCUGAGAGGGCGCACGGACACACUGGAACUGAAACACGGUCCAGACUCCUACGGGAGGCAGCAGUGGGGAAUUUUGCGCAAUGGGGGAAACCCUGACGCAGCAACGCCGCGUGGAGGAUGAAGCCCCUUGGGGCGUAAACUCCUUUCGAUCGGGAAGAUAAUGACGGUACCGAGAGAAGAAGCCCCGGCUAACUUCGCGCCAGCAGCCGC